CCAGCUGCCUGGGCCCAUCUUGGGAGGGUACUGGGGGGCCACAGGCCAGCCGGCUCCAGGCGUCAGGACCUCUUGGCCUCGGGAAGGAGACGUGCUCAGCACCAGUCUGGAGUCGAGUCCCAGGAGGAACCAAGAGGAGGCCCUCGGCAAAGCUGAGUGAUCUAGAGAGAGGGGAAAUAGAGGCACCUGAGUCCCGAGUCUGGUGCUAGAGAACUUCCGGACUCCCCACCAAGGAAGCCGGUGGGCCUCCCUGUCCCCUCCUGUCCCUCGAGGCUCGGCCCCGCCCGGCAGCCCUCACCUCUGCA